rnacentral:rRNA from 1 species
UACGUAGGGUGCAAGCAUUAUCCGGAGUGACUGGGCGUAAAGAGUUGCGUAGGUGGUUCGUAAAGUGAAUAGUGAAAUCUGGUGGCUCAACCAUACAGGCUAUUAUUCAAACUCACGAACUCGAGAGUGGUAGAGGUAACUGGAAUUUCUAGUGUAGGAGUGAAAUCCGUAGAUAUUAGAAGGAACACCAAUGGCGUAGGCAGGUUACUGGACCAUUUCUGACACUGAGGCACGAAAGCGUGGGGAGCGAACCGG